UACGGAGGGUGCAAGCGUUAAUCGGAAUUACUGGGCGUAAAGCGUGCGUAGGCGGUUCGUUAAGUCUGUUGUGAAAGCCCCGGGCUCAACCUGGGAAUGGCAAUGGAUACUGGCGACUAGAGUGUGUCAGAGGAUGGUGGAAUUCCCGGUGUAGCGGUGAAAUGCGUAGAGAUCGGGAGGAACAUCAGUGGCGAAGGCGGCCAUCUGGGACAACACUGACGCUGAGGCACGAAAGCGUGGGGAGCAAACAGG
rnacentral:rRNA from 1 species